rnacentral:rRNA from 1 species
UUGUGCCUACGGGAGGCAGCAGUGGGGAAUAUUGGACAAUGGGGGGAACCCUGAUCCAGCGACGCCGCGUGAGUGAAGAAGUAUUUCGGUAUGUAAAGCUCUCUCAGCAGGGAAGAAAGAAAUGACGGUACCUGACUAAGAAGCCCCGGCUAACUACGUGCCAGCAGCCGCGGUAAUACGUAGGGGGCAAGCGUUAUCCGGAUUUACUGGGUGUAAAGGGAGCGUAGACGGCUAUGCAAGUCUGGAGUGAAAGGCGGGGGCCCAACCCCCGGACUGCUCUGGAAACUGUAGAACUAGAGUGCAGG